rnacentral:rRNA from 1 species
UACGGGGGGGGCAAGCGUUGUUCGGAAUUACUGGGCGUAAAGGGCUCGUAGGCGGCCAACUAAGUCGGAUGUGAAAUCCCCAGGCUUAACCUGGGAACUGCAUCCGAUACUGGAUGGCUUGAAUUCGGGAGAGGGAUGCAGAAUUCCAGGUGUAGCAGUGAAAUGCGUAGAUAUCGUGAGGAAGACCAGUGGCGAAGGCGGGUCUCUGGACAGUUCCUGACACUGAGGCACGAAGGCCAGGGGAGCAAACGGG